rnacentral:lncRNA from 1 species
AAAUAAAUACAUCAGACAUCAUACUGCAUUUAAUACUGAAAAAUAGAUUAAACAAUAACAUACUAACACUGUGUCAGACUCGGGCUCCAUUGGCAACCUUAAUCAAUUAUACAUCUAUAAAAUCACAAAGUACAGUUUAAUUAUUUAUUUAGCUUUAAUACCGUGAUAGGAAAUAGGGUGAGGGGUCCUUACUUGUUUCGGGGUCUGAAUUCGACUAUACAGUGC